ensembl:lncRNA
AAAACUUGUUGUCUUGUGUAAUCAGUUUUCAUUCUUUAUAUUUAAACUUCAGGGAGGAAAACUUCUCUUCAAGGCAAGAGUUGGACUUAAAACAACAAAGAAGUAGGUGGACUGCUUAUUUUAGAUAAAAGAAUAUACACUUGAAAGUAAUUUGCUUUGUCUGUUUUUGUUGCUCAUGUCAAAUCUAUUUACUUCACCUGCAGGAGUAAUCUGGUUUCAGUUAUUUCCACACUUUGGGUUGAAAUUCCAUCAAAAGACAAAAGUACAGAUGUGUAUACUACAACCUCAAACUUUCUAAUAGGCUCAGUAAAGCAGUAUUUCUUUUUUAUUUUGUAGAAUCACAGUGGUUUGUGUUGGAAGGAGCUUUAGGGAUCAUCCAGUUCCAUACCCCCAUGACAUCACAGGGUUGUCAUCCAUUACAUCAGGCUGCUCAGGGCCCCAUUCAACCUGGCCUUGAGCCCCUUCAGGGGUGGGGCAUCCUCAACUUCUCUGGGCAUCCUGUGCCAGUGUCUCACCACUCUCUGAGUAAAGGAUUCCUUCCUAACAUCUAACCCAAAUCUCCCUUCUUUUAAUUUAAAGCCGUUACACCUUGUCCUACCACUACAUAAAAAGUCAGUCUCCUUCCUGGUUACAAGCUCUUGGUCUUGCGGAACCUCAUUAUGGUUCACCUGGGCCUACUUUUCAUGCCUUCUGGUCCCUCUGGAUGGCAUUCUUUCCUUCUGUUUUAUCAGCUGCACUACUCAGCUUGGUGUCAUCUGCCAACUUGCUGACAGGGCAAUCAAUCCCACUGUCUGUGUCACUGAGAAAGAUAUUGAAGGGCACCGGUCCCAGGAGAGAUACCUGAGGGACAGCAUUCAUGACCGGCCUCCACCUGGACAUAGAGCUGUUGACAACAAUUUGCAUGUGUUCAAAUUUCUAAAAGUGUUUAUCUUGCUGAGGACAAAUGAUUCAAAUUUUCACCAUUUAGGAAGGAUAUAUUUAUAUAAUGGCUUAUUGAAAUAAAAAAAAUAUAUUCAUAGCAAUUUCUCUUAAGGAUAAUGAUUAAUUAUUUAUGUUUUUUCAGAGUUUAAAGAUGUGGUAAUUAUUUUAGGUUCUUAGUCUUAAGCAGAUUAAAACAUCUUCCAAUUUUUCUAUUUCCAGUGGAAAUAUUCCCUUUUAAUGGGAAAUACGAACUCUUACUUUCUCACCAUAUCAUAUUAAAUAUGUUACUGAUCAGUUAAUUGUUCUAAGUCCUAUUUCGUUUCACUGUGAAAGAAAAACAUCCUGAUGUGUGUGUGUUUUUGUUUUUUUUUUCAGUACUAUGUGCACCCCUCUCCCUAUGUACAUACAGUAUCUUGCUUCUCGUAAUUGUGGAGACUCUGAUGACAAAUUACCAGCCUUUCUUUCUUAUCAGAUGUGAUUACACAAGGAAUUUCAUAAUAAGGUAAAGCAGAAUCUCGUCCAAAAGAGAAUCUGAAAACUUUAAUUUGAUUUAUACAAUUCAGAGACUGUCAGACCUAGAACAUGCUAUGCUAAACCUUUAUGUUUCAUGACAAUUCACUUAGAACAUUCCAGAUUUCUUUUCCAGUUUUUCAGAAUUUCAGAACAUUUGCUCACAGUGCCUAUCCUGGAGAGUGGUAGACUUUGAUGCUCUUUUCAGGAUUCCCGUGGUGGAAACCUGCUUCAUCAAAGUCCUGCAGAAAAAUCUAAGAAAUUGGACAUGCUCAAGUACAGAGUUAACCGGAUGGAAGUUGAUACCUUCAUAGGAAGUGGGUAGUACUGGUCAUUUCAAAAAUUAAGAGAACUGAACGUUAAGUCCUGUAUCUGUGUCUUAACCACAAGGCUGAGAAGUCGCCUGCUCUGGUGGUUAAAGCUGGCAUAUCUAUGCUGUUGACAACAAAAGCCUCAUUGUGUAAAAAUAAAAGCAGGUAAGAAAAGACCUGAUCUAGGAGCUGAAGUACACUGUGAGAGAGAUACAAUUGUUGGUUAGGAUUAAGUAUGCAUUUAUUUUAGUCCAUUCCUGAAUACAAGCAAAAUCAGUACUGGAAGAAGGGGCUACAGCCCCAACAUUUUGCAGUACCUAUAUCUAAAAUAAGCAUUUGAGUUAGAUGGAAUAAUUUCCAUCAUUGUUGGUUUCUUAACAACUAUGCUAUCUAAAGUAUUAAACAACUGUUAUAAAUACAUAUGUAUAUAAAUAAACAUAUAUUUAUAUAAAGUAGAGUUUUUUUUCACAAGUAUCACCUGCUAAACCAUUAAAGUUCUCCUGGUUUAUUCAGUGAAAAAUCUAGCUCCUUUGGGCUUUAUAUUACUACAUGUACUCCAUAUUUUUUUGAUAAAACACUUGCUAGAAAUUUGUGGUUUGCUUUUACUUCUAAACUAUAUUAUUAGUUACUUGUACUACUUGGUGAUGCUUCAUUUUGGCUGUCAGAUUGCUGCAUCACUUACUUCUGUGGUUAAUUUUUACUAAAAGAAACCAUCAAUUGCUCCCCAAAGUUGUUUAAAUUCAUAUACCUGAAUUAUCAAGAAAUACAGUCCAAAUAUCACAGAAUUUCCCAAAUUCUCUCUCUUCAAAUGCUGUGUCCUGCAGUUCCUUUCAUGCUGUUCCAAGAAAGUGACUCGAGAGUCUUUAUUAAUCAUGAAAUAUGCUAAUUUAGUGACUGAACUAAAAAUGUGUUUUUCUCUUCUCCCCAUAGCUUGAAGGAAAUAUCCCUGCCAAGUCACUAUCUCUAACACUGAUCUUGUACUAGUAGUGUACAUGUAACCUGUUCAUGACUGAAUCUUUAAAGCCUGGCCAAAUGGUGUUUUUUACAUGUCAGUGUCGAUCUAAUUACAUUUUCAAUAGACUGCAUCUUUAAUUGCAUGAAUAAUUGUGGUAAUUUAAGAUUAAAUACUGAUUUCAUUAAAAAUGAGGACAAAAUCUGUCUGUAGACUGGAUAGCAUUUUGCCCUGUUCAGGCAUAAGUUUAUUGCUGGCAUAUGGCAUAUUUUAGAAUUAUUAUUUUUAUGUGCUGUAAUAAUCUGAACUGGAAAUAACAGUAAUAACCUACACUGGAAGUAACCUGUUUUUGUGAGUUUGAUGGAUAGGUUAUUCCACUGUCAGGAAUUAAGCAGAAAUAUUGCAGUGUUAGCUUCAGAUACAUUCUCCUGGUAUCAUCAAGGGCAUGUCAGGAGAAAAAAACUGUGUUUGUAUAGAGAUGGUAAGUGGAGCAGUUCAUACUCUUAGUUAUGUUGUGCCCUCUGGCAAGCCUGCCAGGAGAGUGCUGUGCUUGUUUUGUGAUGAGAAACCUCCUCCACAUUCCAGCCUGAGCAUAUCUAUUGUUUUCAGACGCAAACAGAUGUGUUCCUUACCUAAGGGAAGCUCUCAAAAAUAUGGAAGUAAAACAGAAGAAACUGAUGUGAAACCACAACAGUAUUUGACCUGUCUGUAUGCAUUAAUAAUCCCAACUUUAGCUGAAGGCAGAAGUCUGUUAUAUUCAGUUUUAUUUAUUUACUUAGUUUCUGCCCUACAGUGCAUAAAAACAAUGGAGGGUAUGAGUAUUACUAACGUCAUGCUUUUAAUUUAAAUUAGCAUUUUGUUAAAUGUGUAUGUGUUUAUUAUAUCAUUCCUAAUAGUUAAAGGCCAGAUAGUUCAGAUUUGUGGAGCUGGUGGAAGAAGGGUAAACAUUUAUAUUCUUUAUUCUGACAAACCACCUUGUAUUUCACAGGCCAAAAUCACAAAACUUCUGUUGAACAAACUAUAUAUCCAUAAUAGCUCUUCCUAAUAAUUCUCAUAUAGUGAAUGAAUUUUAUUUUGGUACAUCUCUGCUGGAGGAUAACAAAGCAUUCAUUUGUCAACUCUUGAAGGUUUUUUUUCUGUUUGAGAUUUUUAAUUCUGUAACUUCUCUCUCUGCAAUGCGCUGACCUGUCUUUUCUAACCUUCAGACCGAUGCCUGUAGGAUGCUCAGACACUUGUUAGACUUCGGAUGUGUGUGGGAGGUGAAGCGACAGCCCACAAAUGGGUCAGGGCUGCAGCUUCUUCAUGAAGGCAAACGUGUAGAAGCUCGUGGGUGUGCACCUUAUCUCAUCUAUGUCUCAGCUACAGCAUAGACUGUAUGAAGAAAUAAUUAAGUGCUUAUAUUGAGUACCUAAUACUCGUAUCAGAAAAAGUAGCAUGCGUUGGAGGACAGCAGGAUGAGGGUGUGAGCAAAGAGAGAAAGGAAGUGUUCAGCACAGUGUAAGUGCAGAGAUAGUGAAGAAUUGUUGAGAUGAGGUGCGGUAAGCCAACACCUCAUCUGCAGUACCUCAUCUGUACAGCAGCACGUCACAGUAUGACACUGUCUGACCAGCAGCUCUCCAGCACACCGCUCUGUGCUCCUGCUGAUGCUGCCUUUGGUAUCUGUGUUGUGCCAGAGUAUAUACAGAUGUCCUGGGUUAGAGAACUCUCCACGAGGUUACUUUCAUCCCACAACAAUUUGCAAAAUUAGAAGCUAGGAUGCCACAAACCUUAUUUAAGAACAAAGAUGUCUCAGUUAUAGAAGUAUAUUCUUGCAAAUAAGAAUUUCUGAAAUGAAAGUUUUCAUGGGGUGAGAUUUAGUGACUUUCAUGCUGAUAUUCAAAACUGACAGGCCUCCAUGGAAAACUGUCAUGAAUUUCUUCUAGAUUUUCUAAAAGAUUUUGACUUCAGAAAAGAAGCCUGUGAUCGAAAAAAUAUUAUUGAGACAGCCAUUAGCUUGAUGUCUCCAAUAAUACAGACCCAUUUUUCAAAAGCAACAUUUCAAAAUGAAAGUAACUCCUCAGUGCAUUCUCUGCAUGCUGAUUGACAUUUGUCAGAGAAUCAUGGAAUCUCUUAGCUUAAAGAUCAUCUAGUUCCAAUCCCUACUUAGGGGAGCAAUUGCCAUCCACCAGGUCAGGAUUCCUAGGGCCCCAUCCAACCCAGCCUUGAAUGCCUCCAAGAAUUAAGUAGGCUCUUGUUAACACUCUCCUUGACUUCGCUAUGGACAUCUCUUUCUGUUUCUAACCUGUGGCCAGGCCCUGCACUAUAGCACUAUCAGUAGUGAGGUUUUGCAGGGAAAUAUCUCUAGACUCCCAUCACUGGAGAGUGUCUACCUAAUGAAAAAAAAAAAAAAAAAAAAAAGGGCAUAAAAUCAGAAGAUUAUCAUGCUGGAAUUUACCUCCAGAAGCACAGAAAAAGCCAAAUCUGGAAAAUUUCAUGUUCAUCCUUUUCUACAGGAAUGACCAAAGCCAACUGUUUGACCAGCUGUGCAUGUCCUCUCUUGCUUAAACAAGCAUUUUUAUUCAGAACUACAGAUUUAUGUGACAAAAUAUGAUGCCAUCUUCUUGUUAUAGGCAGUCAACGACAGCAGCACCAUUCAAGAGCGAUGGUAAAUAUUACUGGUUUAGUUCUUUCUAAUUAUGCUUUCCAAAUGAUACUAAGAAAUGUUCAAGUAGAGGCUUAAACUACUGUGGAGGAGAUCCCAUACGCAAAACCCUCCAAGGUACUUCUGAUGCAGAGGUUUUGUCCAAAGGAAGGGCCUUCACAGAAGAAUGUACCACUUUUUCACUUUGCCUAAGCCUUGAUAGUAGAGAUUUAAUGUGCCAUUGGCUCCAUUAUUUCAUACUGCAUAAAUUGUGUGUAUUGUACAAAACUAUAUAAAUACCCAGAUAUACUUUAUUUAUUUAUUUUUAAAUUUAAGGCUAUCAAAUAGACUAGAAGCUGCUGUGUUUCCUCAGUUCUGAAAUGAUAAAACUGUAGUGCUCCAAGGAGAAAAGGACAAGAAUUUAAAAAACGGUAUGGCAAAAAUAAUGGAAACAUUCAAAGAAAUGCAUGCUUAGAAUAUGAGAAUUGUCUUUGUUCUUAAAUAAUCUCAAUUCCAAAUAAUUCAGUUUUAACAUUAAAGUGCAAGAAAUAUCUCAGAUUUUAAAAAGUCAAUGAGAAAUAGUUUGAAAUGUGGUUAAGUAUAAACUAGAAACUAUCUGCAACAAAAUGAUAAUUACUGGUUCAAGACUCUUUUACUCAGAGGUAGAAGAAUUUAAUCAGCCUCAUUGAGAAGUAAACUAUAAAGUUUAUAUUUUUCACAAAGCAAACAAAAUUUCCUGUAGAAAUUCUCAAGAAUUAUAAUUAUCAUUAAGACAACUAUCUUUGUUCUAUCAUGAUUGACUGCUAUCUUUGUUCUCUGUUUGUCAUUUCUGAAUGUGCAGCAUUUUUAAACCUGGGUUUUCAUGCUACUGCAGUGUGAUUCAUAUCUUGUGGCUAAAAUGAUUGGCUUUUGUUUCCAAAAUUUCUGCUGUGAGAAGAUGUCUGUUGAAAUGAAGAUAGUUUGUGGUAUGUGGAUGAAAUAUGUAAAUUAUAACCUCCUCCAGUAAGAGUAGAACAUCACAAGACAUAUGACAACAUUAUUCACACAGUUGCAGUAGAGUAGACACAUCACCCACUGUAUAUGAGGAAACAGUUUUUCUACUUAGAAAAAAAGCUUUCAUGUGGUGCUUGCAUGUGAUGAUGAUGUGCAUAAUGUCCAGGUUUUAGAUAUACAUGUUACUCUUGUUGCAGGUUAAAUUGUCAUUUGAAAUGAUAUAAUCACAACUACUCUUUCUCCAUAAAAUCUAAUCAUUUCUAUUGCAUAGAAAAAAGACUCCUUUCUAUAGCAAGAAACACUUGUUCAAUGCGAAAUCCAGCUUUAGGUCAUAAGAGCAGAGGGUUUUUCGUAUUCAAAUGCAGUUUAUUGGGCUGUAAUGGGAACUGUAUGACAUGUUAGAACAGGAGUACACAUGCACAGGAGCUACCUCCUGCUGGUGGCAUCUCCCAUGCUUUGAACAGCAUUUAUGUAGCUAGACUAUAAAUCCAUAUUUUUGCAUCCCUGUGCUUCUCUAUCCUCUUUCUCAACUGAGGACAACUUCCAGAAAGAGCAGAUCUCCAUCCUUGCUGCUACCUGCUCCAUGAUGUCCACCAAAUAGCUGCCUUGUCCUCCUCACUCCUUGAUAGCUUGGGGGAUUCUAUUGGAUUCUCACCAAAUUGGAUCCUUACCUCAUAUGUUUCUAACCCUAAAGCAGCCCAGUCCUGCAGUGGUGCCCAGAAUGAGUACUGCAGGAAUCUACAGGUUGCCUAAAAGGACACCCACGCUGUGGGAGGUGCACAGCUGUUUCUCAUGUUGUAUAUGUCUAAAAUUUGUUUUGUUUGCUACUGAUACAAUACCAGCCUUCCUGUAGAAAUGGUGUUCGCACUACAGAGGGGAUUCAGAUGGGCUUCCUGGAAUCUGUGGCUGAGACAAUUCUGCCAUUUUGUUUUGUGACAUGGAAGGAAACAUCCACAAAGUUCUGGUGUGAAGAUUUUUGCAUGAAAUACUAUUAUGUUGCUACACACAGGCAAACCUUUCACUUGUGAUGAUUGUGUAAUUCGGGCUGCCUUAACUGGACUACCGUACACUUUUAUCUCCUCAGUAACUUAAAAAUGUUUGUGUUUAAUGCAAGUAGAGGUUAUAAAAGUACUAAUACUCUUCUAUCAUCUUUAGCAAUUGCAUCAGAAAGCUGUUUUUUUUUUUAAUAAAAAAAACCAAACCUUUCAUUUAUCGUCAUGGGCUCCUCAAACAGCUGCUAUUACUUUCUCAGUUAGGGGCUGUGCCAGGCUUUUGGAUGAAUCAGAAACACCAUCAAAAUGCUUUUAUUUUCUAAUUCAGUCCUGAUUUUUUGUUGCCAGAAAAAUUUUGCCUGGCAAUUGCUACCCCAUAAGAAAUAGGUUACAUUUCAGUCCUGCUUCCAUCACAUAAACAACACGCUGACAGAAUGAGAGAGAAAAUAAUCCCUCCAAGGUUUUUUAGCUGUCACGUCACCAGGCAAAUGUGGAAGAACAGGGAAGAAUGAGCUUCCUUUCACUCACAAAAAUUGCAGGCAGAUCACCGUGUAGGAGCUUGUACUACUCCUCUCUGCAUAACACCUGUUUUAUUGAAAAAGAGAAGCCCCCAACUUCACUACUGUCAAGGCUCCACUGCAGGGAUGUACUACCACCUACUUGAAAGCCUGUCUGCAGCUGUGCUGAAGAGGGUUCUCAACUUGAGCAAAGAGAAAACUGGAAGCUCCUUACAGAAUGCCCACAUAGUUAUAAUACUUCAUACCAAAAGAUUAUUUCUUCUGUGUCCACAUAUGGUGUUUAGUGACAUACAUUGUUCCCUCUCUCUUAUUGGGUGGUUUAUUUAAAUAGCACAGAUAAAAGCCAGUAGCUCGGCUGUCAUGUGAAAGGGUAAAAAGCAUAAUUAAUUGCUUUAGGAUUAUCGUUUGUUCCAGUGAAACCUUACUGUUGUGGUUUUGAUAUAUUUAGCUGCAUUGGGGAAAGCACCGUGUGCCCAGACAGAUGAUGACGGGAAGGAGGGCUCUGCUUCACUGCACUGCUUAUGGUUGGCAAAAACAUUACAAAGUUUUCUGGUAUCAUUUGCCUUUGUUGGCUUUAGGCUAUUUAAACUGUAUUAAAUAAUUAUUUUACUCAGUUAAUCAGAAGACUUACAAAGAAUGAGAAAUUUGUUUCUUGCAAAGUGAAAGUGAAAAAAAAAAAAAGAGUGGGGAAAAGCUAUGAUUUGUAUUUACAGACCAUUAUCUUCCUGCCACAAAUUCUUCAUUUGAAAACCAGCUGGCAGAUGUUUACCCAUUUCCUAACCAUCUCUAAAGGUAAAAUCUCUGCAGCCUUAAUCAAAGAUAAAAGAUGAACUGUCUACAGCACAUUGUGGUAGUCUAAGUCAGUAAUAGUAAGCACCAUAUAAAUCAAGUCUUCAGCAAUGUCUGUGUAUUUUCUAAGGCUAAACAACAUGAAGGCAAACCUCUAUGAAAACUCUUUCAGUUUUAACUGGCUCCCUUCAUGUUCCUCACAUGAUCUCUCCUGAGCGAAUACUCAGACGGAAAUAAUGUGUUAGCUCCUAGCUACAUUUCGCUAUUAAUAGCAUUCCUCAGUAGUCACUGAGGCUAGCACCUCAUCUGCUUUGCUAGUUAUCCCAAGUGCUGCACUGCCAUUGUCUAGGAGAGACAGACUCACAGCUCCUCUUAGCGAAAACUUAGCUUUUUUUUUCACAUGAAAAGAGAGAAAAAUGGAGUGUUAACUUGUCCACGGGAAACCUCAGCUUUGUUUCUUAAUUAUAAAAAUUUAAGAGCAAGCUACACUGUAGAUUUUAGAGAAUAAGAGACGUAAUAUAGAUGCCUACAUAUCCCCGUUGAUUUUUAGAACUCUGAUGUGAAAAAGUAUUUCCACAGUUAAAUAGUUAAUAUGACAGAUGUCUUAUGUCCUCCUAGACUGUUUUUUUUUUUUUUUUGGCUACUUCCUACUACUGAAAAGCAGAAAUGUACAUUCUGUUUAGUAAGCAGCGUGCUAUUUAGACUGAUGUAUUCAGCUGCGAUCCUAGGAAACACUAUUUCAUCCUCGGUUAAAAUUUUCCCCAGGGUUGUGACAUGAUUUUCUUUAACUAUUUUUCUUUGGAUUCCUUUCUUUUCUUUUGCUGUUUGGAAUGGAGCUCACACAGUUUGUAAGAGUAUAACAUGUGUUUUCCUGAUAUUAGCCAGUACUACUAGAACACUUGAUUUGAGAUGCUUGAGAUCAGCUGUGGGGUGAAAUGGGUGUUUCCCUGUCCUCUGGCAUUCCAGCAAUCUGAUCCAAACUACAGUCAUAUAUGCCUGUUACCUCAGUAGGAUUGCUUUGCAUGGAAGUGAUCAGAGGCUCUCAAGAGGGAACCUCCCUUGGAAAGACAGCUGAUGAUCUGAUAAGCAUAACAUACACCACUCUGUCUUUACAUGAACUUAUGUCAUUGGUGGCACUUCGGUGGCGUGUUUCCUUGGCUGUCUCACUAAAUCUAUAGGCACAUGACUACUAACAGUCUUUGAUUAUUCAAUCUUAAAAGAUAUCUGAAAAAAAAAUCUUGGUAGACGUGGGGGAAGUUACUGAGGAAAAUGAUUCAUUUUGAUGCUCAGUGUGGGUGUGUGAGUCUAUGGAUUUAAAAAGCCACAAGAGUACAGAAAGAUGUAGUGGGAGGAGAAAUUGCACUGAAGACUUUGUCAUCUUCAGAAGCAACGGGUGUAGUUUCAGAUCUCUAUUUGGCUGUAUCAGUGAGAAAUUGGUAUUAGAACGAAAACAUGAUUUUUCAGUCAUGGUUGGAUUUCCAUCAUUUUAUCUGAUUAACAAAUAUAGUAACUUCUUGUCUAUCAAGCAGUUGAACGUCUCUGUGGUCUAAAUGUCAAGAAAUGGCAGAAGUAUCACUCAGAACUUCAAAGCUGAUAUGCCUGAAUAUUCAUGCUUCCAGUAACAGUAUAUUGGAUGUGUAAUUAGACAAACAAAGGGAUCAGGAGAGUAAGCCUUAAAACACUGCUAGGUUGCUUUGGUCUAAAAUGCAUCCAGGCAAAUGCACAUUGUGUUGUGUAAAAGGAAAGGGUGCAGUAAGGGGUAUCAGAUAACUUUUUAGAAAUAAUCUUUCUGUUCCCAAAGAAAAGGUCCCUGAAAGACAGAGAUAAUUAAAGUAUCGGUACCCAGCUGGAGAAUGGGAGGCAUUACCUGGCAGUCAAAUGACAUCUUCUGACCUGGAUAUAGAAUUAUCAGUUAUUGGACUCUUAUUCAGGGAAAUCAUCCAGCUAAGUCUGGGAGCAGGAGAGAGCUGGGAAAGUUGAUAUGUGGGAGCUAAUAGCAGAUAAACUAAUUCAUUUGUUUUCCUAAUAGCGGAAAGGAGUACGGAAGGACAAGGCUAUAAACCUGGCACUGCAGGCAGUUGGACAGCAUCCCUGCUUUUUUUUUCCUAUCAUUGAGCACAACUGGACACCAAGAAGAAAUCCUUAAAAAGGAUAAAGAGCCCUAAGCUGGCAGUUCUGGGAAGCGUAGGGAGAUGGGUAAUGGCACGUUUCAGGGCCUGUGCCCUGCCAUGGGAAGACGGUGCUCAGGGUGAUCUCUGCCUUUAUCAGUGUCAGCAGACUUCAGCAUCCUCCUUAGGGUUAUGAGGAAGCUGGUUAUUUAUCAAACCACAGCUGUGGUUUCUAUUUUUUACAUUUAUCUUUAAAAAAAAAAACACACACCAAAAAAAAAAAAAAAAAAAAAAAAACCUGUGAAAAAUCUACAGAGGAUGCCACAUUAAAUGCCAACACCAAAAUACGUUUUGCUGGAGAAUAUCAGAAUUCAGCGGUAGUGAUGACUGAAAAAACUAAUUUUUCAGCUCACUGUAUGUCCAAUGAAAUAUACAUUUUAAACAAAGAAAAAAGAACCAAGCCAAGUACAUGCGUUUUCGUUUUGUUUGCGUGUUUUUAUGUUUUUAGCCACAACUUUAAAGAAGGAAACUUCAGAAACAAAUGCUGCUCGUUCUUGCUAAGUCUGGCUAAACUAGGACGGGUUGGAUCUAUUCCCGAUCUCUAGCUCUGUCAAGAGAUGAGCAAGGAAUCCCGUCGGAGCUGGAGGCGGGCUCUUUACAGAACGAGCUCUGCAUUUCUCCGUCACGAAGCACGCAGUCCCCAGCAGAGGGAGCUUGCCGGGGUGCCCUGGGAGAGGAACCGGGCCUCUGUGCUUCAGAGGGUUCUGGCGACGAGAAACACAAGCAGCAGCUGAAGGAGUUUCUCUUUUUUAGGCACAGCCUCUGAACUUCACCAGCGACCACAGUGGCUGUUGGUGCAGGCUAACUUUGACACUGAUAAAGUAGCAGCUAGCCUCACUCCUGGCUUUCAUGCUCCAGCAUUCCAAAGUAAAAUGAUUUCUUUGCCAUCAAUACACGCUUACAAUUUCAGAGGUAGCUUGGAAGCUCUUCAGCUUGUAAAGAAGCUGCAGAUUUGGAGACUGGCUGAAGAAGACAGUCUCCCUCCCCCUUGCCUUCUAUUUUGUGUUUUGUAUAUGUGAAGUUCAUGACUACGUAUAGUCUGACAGAAGAGAAAUAUCACCUCCUCUUUUUCUCAGCAGAAGGAACAGGUCUUUAAAACCUAUUCAGCAGCAAAAUGCAGGGCAGUGUUCAGGUGCUGAUGUUCUGUAUCUGCUGCUAAAGGUGGUAGAAGUGUCACUGAGAAGCUCACCCAACAAAAAAUGACUGAUUGAUAGUUUGCUUAAAAGGCAGCUAAAUCAGAGACUGAGCUGAAGAAAUAACUGAAAGGCAAGAGGGUAGAGAGCCAUAGGCUAAAAUUGCCCUGCAGACUCAUUUCAUAGAACCAUAGAAUCCUUAGAGUUGGACGGGACCUUUAAAGGUCAUCUAGUCUAACACUUCUGCAAUGAACAGAGACACCUACAGCUAGAUCAGGUUGCUCAGAGCCUGGUCCAGCCUGACACUGAAUAUCUCCAAGGACGGGGGACUUUCACCACAUCUCAGUGCCUCACCAUCCUCACUGUAAAAUAAUUUUACCUUGUGUCCAGUAUAAAUCUCCCCCUUUAAGUUUGAAACUAUUUCCCCUUAUCCUAUCACCUCAGACCCUGUUAAAGUGUCUGUCCCCUUCUUUCUUGUAGGUCCCCUUUAGGUCUCCCUGGAGCCUUCUCUUUUCUAGACCAAACAUCUCCAGCUCUCUCAGUCUGUUCUCGUAGGACAGAUGUUCCAUCUCUUGGGUCACUUCUGUGGUCCUCUUCUGAACACACUCCAACAGGUCUAUGUGUCUCCUGUUCUGAGGAUUCCACAUCUGGACACACUACUCCAGGUGAGAUUUCAUCAGUGCAGAGUAGAGGAACACAGUCACCUCCCUUGCCCUGCUGGCCAUUUUUUUCUUGAUGUAGCCCAGAAUAUGGUUGGCUUUCUUGGCUGUGUGGGCACAUUGCUGGCUCAUGUCCAGCUGCCAUCCAUCAGUAACCUCAAAUCUUUACCAGCAGGGCUGCGUUCUAUCCUUUCCUCCCACAGCUUGUAUUGAUAGUGGGGGUUGCCUUGAUCCAGGUGCAAGACCUUCCACUUGGCUUGUUAAACAUCAUGUGGUUCUCCUGGGCCAACUGCUCAAGCCUGUCUAGGUCCUCCUGGAUGGCAUCCUGUCCCUUGGGCAUGUUGACCACACCGCACAGCUUGGUGUCAUCCACCAACUUGCCAAGGAUACACUUGAUCCCAUUAUCAAUGUCAUCGAUGAAGAUACUGAAGAGUGUCUGUUCCAACACUGACCCCCGAGGAACAUCAUUUGUCACAGACCUCUAUCUAGACAUUGAGCCAUCAACCAUCACAGUCUGGGUUUGAUCCUGCAGCCAGUUCUUUGUCCAUUUAACAGUCCUCCUGUCAAAUCUAUAUCUUUCCAAUUUGGAGAGAAGGAUAUUGUGGGGUACCUUAUUAAAGGCCUUACAGAAGUCCAUGUAGAUGACAUGAGUUGCUCUUCAUCUUUGUGGGUUGUAGUUGUAUGCAUCUCUACAGUGGAGGGAAAAAAGAAACCCAAAAAUCUGUGGCAACGGGAUUUACAAAAGGAAAUUGCAGACUGAGUCCAGUGCCCCAGGUCAAAGGUUCUCCAGCAGAGAUUUAGAAGCUCAAAAUUAAUAGCGGGUCAGGCUCUCUAAAUUUUCUGUGCCUGUAAUUAAGGAAAACAUAAGGCCAUGUUUUCAAUUUACAAUUUGUUCUUUGCUGUUUGGCAUUGCUGAUGAUACUUAAGUAAUGGUUCUUAGAAUAAUUUGCUCAUCAUGCUCAGAUCCGGCUCAAGACUUCUUUUGUAUUUGUAUACAUUCAGAGUCACCCAUGUCUAGAGUUCGUUAAUUAGAGCUUUUGAAUCUGUCCUCAUCAGCAUUGCAAAGAUACUUUUAUUUAAAGUAACAGUAGAAGAUAAUAAACAAAGAGGAAAAUAACCAAACAAAACUGUCUUUAAACUGAUCCACAUCAUGUUAUAUUGGAUACCCCAUCAAAAUAAAAAAACACUUAGAAAAGAGUGAUUCUUUUACAGCAGUGAAAACCAAAUGCAUUCAAGUUCUUAUACGAAAGAUUAAUCAAAUUGUAUCAUGUUGCUGUCUUAAUCUCAUUAGGAUUUAAAGAACAUGAGUUUAUUCACAGCCUUCUGUCAUCUCACACAAGACAAAGCCCUACAUUAAAGCAGUAUGCAGAGUCUCUUUAAUACUGUGGAUCUCAAUUCUGUGUUUUUCACUUGCACUGAAAAUAACUCGUGUUUUGAACUGACAGAUUUUCGUAUUUCUAGCAAAUUAAAAAUAUCUUUUUUUCUACUUGUCACUAGCUAACACUAUAUUAACAAUCUCAGUUCUUGUCUUCGCUAAGAUGGACACAUUCUUAGUUUAUUUCCACACUAGCGUUUUGGAAAACAGUACUUAGUUCUAUUCAAUCCUUUUUUUUCUAGUGAUGCCUCUUUUGUGGUUCACAAUUUUCCCAGGAGCCUCAUAAUUUAGUUUUUCCAUAUUGUUAUCAACACAGUCCUCAGAAGGCUUGAAUUUAAGCCACUUGUUUCCAGAGUGUUUGAAAUCUUUGCCCACAGUAUCAUUCCAUGCCAUACAGAACAGCUAUUCACCAGAUGCCAGAUGUAUAAAACACUCUUCAGUUGGCUUCUUUCCUCAGGAUUACUAAUUUCUAUGCCAAACUAAUUUUUAAUUUUUGGACUCCAUCGCUGCUGAUUGUGCUGUUUCCUCAGGGCAGUUGUUACUGGAAAUAAUCCCAGAUGUCAGUGAGUACUGUCACAAAACUUUCAAUAAAGGCUUGAUGUAUUCUUUCUCGUCUACAUUUCCCAGAACUUUUAAGGGUGAGCAGUCAAACCUCAGUGCAAGUAGGUAACAGCGAGACCCAGGACUUGCUGCAGAGCUGAAGCAUUUCUUUUGUAAUCUAUUACAGUUACAACUGUUGGCUUUAGAUCUAAAAUACCAUUCUUUCAGCAUUCUCUUUCCAGUCAUUAGUUAAGUGUAUAUAACCGUGUAGGAAUAUUCUUUGGGGACUCAUUUGUUUGCCUACUCUAUUAGGCUUCUUGGCAUGUUUUCUUGGAGGGAAAAAUGCAUAAAACUGCAUUAUAGUUGCAUAGCUGCUCCGUAGCUGAGGUGUCCACAGCUGACAGUGUGAUGGCUAUAGCAAGUUUUGUGAGUUAAAGGACUGCAGUGUGUAAAGAUGGAAUUGCUUAAUGUAAAAUGUUACACUAAAUCCAACCUAGAAGAUAAGCUGCAUAGUGCAGAAAGAGAUGUCAGUAUUGUUAUCCUAUUUUUGUAUGUAUAUACUACAGUACUGCCUUUGAUUAUAUGAUCACAUGCUCUCUUAUUUCACUCUACUGUCAAUAACUACAUAAGGAGGAAGACUUAUGGUUUCUCAGGAUACUGUAUGUACUAGAAGUUUGAGUUUCUUACUUUAGAGUAAGCUAAAUUUCAUUAUAUUUUUGUAGAUAAUAAUGAUGAUGGGAGAAGUGUCUUUGGUAGUUCACAGAAAUACAUUCAAGCAGCAUGCUAAUACCAGUUACACAUUUUUCUAGGAUUCUUCUUCUCUCCCAUUCCCAAGGCCUAUCAGAAACCUCGUGUUCUAACUGCCUCAUAUCCUACAGCAGAUGUUUUGCUGAUCCUUUUCUCAGAGAAAGACGAGAACAUAAAAGCAACUCCCCCCCCCAGAGCACAGUCUGAUCCCCUUAAGGGCUUACUUACUUUAAGCCUCCCAUCUGAAGGAUUUCAUGGGAAAGCACCUGAGCAGACAGCAUACCUCUGUGCUGGAAGUAGCUUUCUCUGCAGAGGUGCUGGUCACAGCAUGGUGCUACACAGUCUGCCACAUUUCUUGCUGUUCCAACCAGGAACCAUACAGAAGCACCAGGUAAAGGCCAGAAUGCCAUCUUUGACAAUAUUCACACACCUUAGGAGCCCCAUAGCAAUUUACAUGCAAACCUGCGUUGGGCAAAUAAUUGAAUAAUCCCUAAAAUUGGAAUCAAAGCACAGUUACCAAAUACAAACAUUACUCAUUUUCCUUUCUGCAUUUUGAAUCCUACUACUGGAGAUAUUCUUUCUGUAUUAAAUAAACUUCAGAGUAUCUCAGAUACCUUUGUUUUUAUCCAUUAAAACCUCUCUAUUCACUAUACUAUACCCUAGAGCAGGGUUGGAUUCUCUAAUCUAUAAACAUUUCCAUUUUCCAACUCCUUUGUGCAAAUAGUUUCUUUAGGUUAUAUGCAAGCUAUUCUGCUUUGGAGCCUGGCUUCCUAGGUGCUAAUGGAAAAGGCCACAGCCCUUAAAUUUUCUUGCUGCAAGCACUGUGAGAUUAACUGCAUCCAAUCUUUCUGGGCACAGAUGAGGAGGAAGAGAACUCGGCUUCCUCUUUGCAUUGUUUCUUAUCAAAAGAGAGAAGAUUUGGGUGGUGGUUAAAGAAAUAAUGUCUGUUUUGCACAUUCACUGGUAUGACAGAUGAGCUAAAUGACCAACUAAGCAAGAUAACACAUCCUCUUGAGAAACGCCUGAGAAUCUCCUGAAAUCAAUCCUUGUUUAGAAAAGUAUAGGUCUAAAUGUUGGUGGAUUUCUUUAAUUUCUUACUUAGUUAUUUUUUCCAAAGGCAAAUUAGCAUACAAUCAGAUUUCCUGAGUGAAGGGACUCCAGAAAGGCAAAAAGGUUAUUAUUUUAGAUUCCUAGAACUAGAAUAACAUUAAAAAUAGAUAGUCCUUAGUCAUCAUUUUUUGUUUGUUUGUUUGUUUGUUUGUUUUGCAAAUCAACUUCUUUUGAGCCAGUGUUCAGGUCACAGUCAGUAGGCUUGCAGGGAUUUUCACACCUGGGUUUGAAUGAGAGCAGGUGCUGAGUCUCUGAACAGCAAGAUUGGAUCUUAGUCUUUCUUCUUUUCCUAUCUUUCUGAAUAGCAGUUUCCUUUUCCUGCACUAAAUUGUAGGGCUUUUCUGUGAACUAAUUAACACUUAAGGUAGGAUGGGAAUAUUUUCUAGGCUAGGAAAAGACUAUGACUGAAGCUCUUUAUUUUGUACACCAGCCAUAGAUAUUUGUUGAAUUUCUCCUGAAACCAGCUGACUGGAAUAUCUUAAUUAUUGUUAUCUUUAUUCUUAUGGUAAACCAAAAAGGGAAGUAAACCUGAACCGAGCCUUGCCAGUGCUGCCAGUAUGUUUCAGUAUGUAUUCUAUGUGAAAAAAGACAAGGAAGUUCUGAGAAUAAAGAAGUCUGGCAAGGUCCAGGAAACAUUUUACCUCACUAUUCUUCCUCUUUCUUUAAUCUUUGCUUGGUUUCCCUUGUUUCUGUGCAAAUAAUAAAAUGAACAAAUGUACCAUGUUGAAUGAUGGGAUGACUAUUUAUAGUCACCCUCUUAUUUUUUCCGCUCUCCAUUGCGAAGUCAAACAGUUAAGAGGGCUGAAAACAAUUAGCAGCACUUGGCAUAAGUCUGACACUAUAAUCUCUUUGGAUGAAAUACAGAAGUAUGAUAGAUGCUAAAGUGGGGCAGGCAAAAUUCUCAUUUUGAAGAAGAGGUAAUUCCCCGGCGUUGGCGGAAGCUUUUGCUUCUUUUGUUUUAAUCCUCAAGAAACACCCAUGUGUUUACCCUUACAACCUUGUAUCAGCCUUAAGACUAUUGUUUCAUGCCUUCAUUUAAUAUCUUCUCAAUUGUUGAAACUUAAAAAGGACAGAUCUCUCUGCUUCUGUCUGGAAUAAUCUUUAAGCUGUUUCACCUGGGUGUUAGACUUUGUGGCCAGUUGCUGCAAAGGCAGUGAAAGGAGGGACAAGUGGUGUCUCAUUUGAAGACAGGAAGUGGUUGAACUUGGUCUCACCAUCUAUUCAACUCAAGACGUCUGCACAAGGUUCUUCUCUUGUGAACUGUGAGGCUCCAGAAGUUUUCCCAAAUCUGGAGGCACUAUGAGUCAGAUACAUUUUGCAAAUAUCAGUUCAUCAAGCUGUAUAACCGUAAAACCAUACACAUAGGUUUCACUUUUCUGCAGAAUUCACACACAAAAAACCCCUGCACAAUUACAUCAUGACACAAUGCUGAAACGUUCACGUCUGUUUAAAACUCUACUGCUGUUAUUGCACACGACAAAGGAGGCUGUUUGCUUGUGUGUUGUGUUUGUGUUGUUAAAAAAAAAAAAAAAAAAAAAAGGAAAAAAGGAAGAAAAAGGAAAAAGAACAAAAGAAAAAGAACAGAAGGAAAAGCAGCAAAUACCGAAGGUGCACUGGAAUAAAAAACAGUACGCCUUCAGUUCUAAAAACCCAAAGUACGAUGGCUAGUGUAGGCAGCAGAUUUUGUUACUGUACUGCUGGAACCGACAAUUGGAAAGGAGAUGAGACCCUAAUAUAAGUAAAUGUAAAAGAACAUUUAGGAAAAGAAGUAGAGAUUUGAAAGGCAUUGUGAAUGUAUUUGAACCCAUUUAAUAAUUCAAUAUAAAAAAAUAGAUAGGUAAUUUAACCACUGAUAUUAAUGCAAAUAUUGAUCCUUAUGUUUCGACAAUGUUUUAAAAUAUAUUCAGGCAUAUAAUUUUUUUUUUCCUAAUUAAAGCCUGAUUGCUUUUUUAUGUGAGAUUUUUCAAUACAUUCAGAAGUUGUCUUGAGUUUAAAAAGAUAAAAAUACCUACUGAUACUUUGACAUGAGCUGUCUUUCCCCACCCCCAGGAAGCAUUAUUACUUACAUUGAUUUUUUUGGCAGAUGGGAAAAGAGAAAUGAAUUGGUUUGGUUUUUUUUUUUUUUUUUUGCUUGCUUUCAUUUGUAAAAAUAUUUUUUUAUUUGCAAAUCAUUUAUAACUUAUUUCAACUCAAAUUGUUUGAAACUGCGUCUGUGCAUUUAAUGUGUGGAAUAUAAUACCUGGAAUGCCAUGCUGUGAAUUCUUGCAAAUGGAAAAAUUGUAUCUAUGCUUUGCAUAUAUAUCCUUAGUGCCUGGAAUAUAUUUUAGUGCCUUUUAGACAAAUAGCUUUGUGUCAUGCCAUGUGCUGACAUCUUUGAAAUCCACUUAAAGUAGUUUAUAGCUUUGUCUACUUUGGGGUGUUUUCACACGGUGGUUUCUGUGAUGAUGCAUUUCUCUUCACAUGCACAGGACUAUACAGCUGUUAGGUUUAGCACUGCUAUAUAAAGCAUUAAGCUUAUUAAAUUAUGCUGAGGCAAUUUGAUUAGAUGUGUCCAAAUGAAGACACAAUUAUAAUAAGCUAGAUGUGGGUAGUGAUUAUUGUUAAAGAUAAUAUAUCAUAAUUAAAGAAAAUACUGGUUUAACUGUUUUCAGUAAAUCUAUUUUCCCUUUUGUAUGGCCUAUUUGCUAUUGUAGUGUAAUGUUUGGCUUCCAGAUAAUUCAAGGCAUGUACAUUUAUUCAGCUUUUUAAUCUUAUUUCAAUAUGUACUAUAUGACUUUAUGUUCAUAGUGUGUAUUAGAAAUUCUGGAUUUAUUGCUUUGCUUUCAAAAUCUUAAAUUAUAUUCAUCUCAAAGUUUGUGACAGAGUCGUGAAUGGAAGCUGGUUUGUAUUUCACUAGCAUUAUGUUUUACUUGAAGCAGAUGGAAAACCUAAGUGCCUCCUGGUGGUCUGUUAAAUACUGGAGAAGAGAAAGGAUGACUGAAGCAGUGAGGGAACAGAAACAGAAUUGCCUUCAGAAACAGACGUGGUGAGGUCUCAUGGGCAGACUUCACAGUAUGGAUAUUUCAGCGUACUGAAUAGUAUCUGAUGAACAUCUUCAUCUCAGCGCAAUUUGGCAUAUUUAUCCCCUUGUACAUUUUAAUUCCUCUUAAGGAGAAUGAUCCUAUCAACAUAAAGAGGUCAUAAGGACUGUUGCACGAUCAGAUUAACCUCUCUUCUAUUCUAUUGUCUCCAAUCCUUAGAAUACAGCUGCAGAAGAAACAAAACAUUCUGAUGAAGGAUGAGCAGAGGCAGGAAUAUAGGAAAUGAGGGAAAAGGAAGAAAGAAAACCACACUCAACUGAAGCUCAUUUCAUCCCACUGAAGAAUGCAGCCAGCAUGUGCUCCCAAACUUGGCAGCUAACAGACCUGCAGUUUGGGUGAGCCAUUAAUUUUAACAGAAGCCAUUGCAAAGCAGUAUAAUGCUCAGAGUUGAUGAGAAGAGUCACUUCUUUUACAUAAGAGUGCUUGGGGGGAAUAAGAUAAGCUGGAAAUUAAGCAAGCCAUCAGGGGGAAGUAUUUUACUGAGAGUGGUGAGGUUGCCAGUGAGCGUGUGGAUGGAUAUCUUUGGAGGUGAUUAAGGCCAGGCUGGAUGGGACCCUGGGCAGUCUGAUCUAGCACCUGAUAUAGAAGCUGGCAACCCUGCCUGUGGCAGAGGGGUUGGAAUGUGAUGCUCCUUGCAGCCCCUUCAAAUCCAAGCUGUUCUAUGAUUCUAUGAUUUAUAUAAAUUAAUGUACGUUUUCUCCCCAUAUAUGCUUUUCAAUAGUUUCACUUACAAGAGAAGAUGGGAAUAGUGCCACAAGCUUGCUGCCCUGAUUAUUUUCUUAACAACAAGCUGGAAAAGGACUGAUUUGUUUUCAUCUGUGUGCAUCUGUACAUCUGUUAAGCUAAAUAGAUUGAAGGGAUUGGGAAAUAUGGCCAGACUAAACAGUGAUUUCUAUGCUUUUUAUAGAUAGAAAUGACCUAGCUACUCAGAGAUAAUGUUUUCUUUCAUGAAGAAAACACAGAUAAAUUAAAAUAAGCAGUACUGUUCAAGGCUUAUUCUACAAAUUACAUAAUUUUUAUCAAUUAUUUCUGUAAAUAUGGAGUAUUUCUGACGUUUAGAAACAUGCAGAUAUAUUUUUGUUGUGAAAGAAGUUUAAUUAAAUGAGUAAAAUAUAUCAAAUAUUACCAAUAUUGUUUGUUCUUUUAGCAAAUAAAUGCUAAGAAAACCAAUUAAAUGUCUACUGUUAAAGAUAGUAAUUUGACAGCAAUAGGUACAACAUAAUCUUUCCAUUCCCAUUUCCUGUAAGACUGUGGCAUAUAUCAGAAGUGCUUUAUCUUUUAUAAAAGAUUCUACUUUAAGUCUGAAUAUAGUUUAUUUGAAAUUGUUGGGUUUUUUUUCCAGCUGAAUGUUAGGCGUAUAUAAGCUUAGAGGGUAGUCUGAUGUAUGUCUGCCAUGCAGUUUGCAUUGUUUAUGGGCAACAGUUGUAAUAAACUUGGAGAGGAUUACAAUAGGUUUUUCCAAGCCUAAGCAAUCAUCAGCAUCAUCACGCUUAAUGACAUUAGUCACGUCUGUGGGAAAUUAUGAUACUGUAGCAACUAUUCAGCUGAUUAUGGAUAGAAGUACUUAGAUGUUGAGGGAAUAAACUUAGCAAAUUCAGAGCACUGGUAUCCAUCGUAGAGAAGAAUGAUGCAGACACAUCCCAAAUCCUUGUACUUAAUGGCAUUUCCAUCAAAUAAAUGGUUCCUAUGACCCACAGGUAACCAUAUUUAUCUCUGUCAGGAGCUGUAACAUUUUAAUACAAAAGUAACUUACUGGCAAUGUUCUUUAUUCUGUUCUGCCUGUAAUAGAAAAGUUUGAGAUGAAGGGCAGAAAAACACCGAGCCCUAUUUCUUCCAUCUGUACAACUACAAAGGGAAGGAAAACAAGAGAAAAACACAUGUGAGGUAACUAGCAGGUUGUGCCCUGAUCAAGAUAACUGCCUCAUUGUGUCUGUUACAAACAUUGUCAUGACUUUAGUUCAAGCUUUGGCCUUAAACAAUAGAGACCAUGAAAUACAUACUUGCUACAUAUUGCCAAUGUUAUGGGAAUGACCUAAAUAUUUUAUACAAGGGUAGCAAUACCUCUUGAACAAACAUUACCUAGCCAUAACAUUCUGGAACAUCGACUCCUCAAACAAUUGCGACUGGGGAGAGGUUCCUACAGGAAGGCUCAUAACCCAAGUUCAAUUUGUUUUCAGGUCUCCACUUUUAGGAGGGCUUUCUUUUUUCAGUUUACUGCAGAAGGGCUGUGUGGUGGCGGAAGCAGAGUUUUCCCUGUGUAUGCUUUUCCCUGAGGGCUUCAAAGAGGAAGCAUUAUUUUAAGAUUAUGAGAUGCUCUAGAGAUUCAAAAGGCUACCAGAAGUCUUUAUGGAAAUAAACUGAAGGCUACUCUUUUGUCCCUUUCUUUGUCCUUUUUUUUUUUUUUUUUUUUUUUUUUUUUCAGAUUGGUUCAUUCUAGAACAUGGGUGUAUAGGAUUUAUAUCGAUCUAAGAAAUUAAAUAGGCCCUAGAAGCUGGCAAGGACCCAGAUACUGUAGCUCAGACAUAUGGAUACUGUAACACUUGAUUCUUUCCUGGUUGAGGUAGCAACAAAAUCAGAAAUUAUUUCUUCUCACUUAGGAAACACACUUUAAAAAAUCAUGGUGGUGGUCUUGUGCCAUUAUGUAGACCACAGGCCACCUCUACCAACCCAGAAGGUCAAAUGAAUAGUUCAGACAGAACAAUUCAUGGCUGCUUGUAUCCUACUUAUCAUGGAUGAGUCCACCUCACUCAAUUCCUGUGGUUAUUGUUGUUCACCUUCUUUUCAAAUCCUGG